UACGAAGGGGGCUAGCGUUGCUCGGAAUCACUGGGCGUAAAGGGUGCGUAGGCGGGUCUUUAAGUCAGAGGUGAAAUCCUGGAGCUCAACUCCAGAACUGCCUUUGAUACUGAAGAUCUUGAGUUCGGGAGAGGUGAGUGGAACUGCGAGUGUAGAGGUGAAAUUCGUAGAUAUUCGGAAGAACACCAGUGGCGAAGGCGGCUCACUGGUCCGGUACUGACGCUGAGGUGCGAAAGCGUGGGGAGCAAACAGG
rnacentral:rRNA from 1 species